CAGCAGCCGCGGGAAUACGUAGGGGGCAAGCGUUGUCCGGAAUUAUUGGGCGUAAAGCGCGCGCAGGCGGUUUUUUAAGUCUGGUGUCUAAGUGCGGGGCUCAACCCCGUGACGCACUGGAAACUGGGAGACUUGAGUGCAGAAGAGGAGAGCGGAAUUCCACGUGUAGCGGUGAAAUGCGUAGAGAUGUGGAGGAACACCAGUGGCGAAGGCGGCUCUCUGGACUGUAACUGACGCUGAGGCGCGAAAGCGUGGGGAGCAAACAGGAUUAGAGACCCCGGUAGUCCCUGUCUCUUAUACA
rnacentral:rRNA from 1 species